ACGCUCGACACCUACUGGAGGCAGCAGUGGGGAAUAUUGCACAAUGGGGGAAACCCUGAUGCAGCGACGCCGCGUGAAGGAAGAAGUAUCUCGGUAUGUAAACUUCUAUCAGCAGGGAAGAAAGUGACGGUACCUGACUAAGAAGCCCCGGCUAACUACGUGCCANNCGCGAGUNUNGNGGCGNGNAG
rnacentral:rRNA from 1 species